UACAGAGGGGGCAAGCGUUAUUCGGAAUUAUUGGGCGUAAAGGGCGCGUAGGCGGCGUCGUAAGUAGGAUGUGUAAUCCCCGAGCUUAACUUGGGAACUGCAUCCUAGACUGCGAUGCUAGAGUGCUGGAGAGGGUGGUAGAAUUCCACGUGUAGCGGUGAAAUGCGUAGAGAUGUGGAGGAAUACCAGUGGCGAAGGCGGCCACCUGGACAGUAACUGACGCUGAGGCGCGAAAGUGUGGGUAGCAAACAGG
rnacentral:rRNA from 1 species